GCUGGGAUAGCUCUGUUGGUAGAGCACGAGACUCCUAAUCUCAUAGUUGUGGGUUCAAGCCCCAUGUUGGACA